UUUGCUGUGGAUUUGAUGCGGAAACACAGCGGUUUCUCAACAUAUACACUCCAGAUAGUCCCCAGCAAAUACAACACGGAGACAGAAUUUCCUUCUCGACUAUGAUCCGAACAAGAAUAAUGCUGAGCAGCACUUUGCAACUGGUCUGCCUCACAUCCUGAUGUUCCCAGGUACUUACAUCACAACCAGCAAAAAAAAGUCUGUACAGAUUGAUCAUCAGCAAAAGGUUUCUCUCACAGAAGUCCAUUCUGUUCUUCAGAGUCCUUUUUCAGAUGACAGAUGAAUGCAUCCACCAGGCAACUGUUCCUACCAACAUGAGAUGUGCGGAAUGGAAAGUAAACCUCGCAAAUCCCUCAUUAAGGGUCAACAAGAGAUUUCACAUCAAAAAUGAUCUGAUAUGAGAGAAGUCUAUCAAAAAGUCUAUCGAACUAGAAUAAUGAGCUCAUAGGCACGAAAGAAUGGAACAACUCUGGGCCACCAUUAGUGGCCUCAAAUAUACCAACAACACUGGCCUCUCAGAAGCUAAAAAACUCAAACUGUUGCCUUGCAUCAUGUAGCCAAUUUCAACCGAGGAUGCUACCACGUCUCAUGGCAGUGGAUGGUAUAUACACAAGUUUGAAGAUGUGUGAGAUUACAAGGGCCAGGGAGCCUUUUCUCUCCCAAUCUCUAGUGGAGAAGUGCAGUACAAAUGGGCAAAGGAAAGAGGAAGAUCAUGAAGGAACCGCAGCAAGAGACCGCCGUCGGCAGGGACAUUACAUGUGCCGGUCAAGGAGCCACCAGUGCGACACACCUUCAGCACCAUGUAACCCUGAGCUACACUACUGAUCAUGUGUCAUGCUGUAACCAGAGCUGAGCUCCAGCAGACAAAGUCCUGCAAAUACACCCGGUCCCCUUAACCCUCAGUCCUAGAAUGCACAAUUAAAAAAAACAGAUCUGUAACUGAAAAGUAUAAAACGAACAACUAUAAACUGGAUUCGUACUGUUGUACGAAUGCGACUUGUCGAUUACUGUCAAAGACAGGUUGGAGAGAAAUUGUUCAUGAGAAAUAGAACAUGCAAAUCACUGAUUCAAGGACAGAAUUUGUUCUUUAUUGCUCGCCAGGAGCCCCUACUGCAUCUGUCUUGGUGAAUAGAUGGCGGCUGCCAUGGAUAUAUUGACUGCAGACUUGAGUUUCUCUGUGUAAAUCUCUAAAAUCAAUUGGUCUAAUGAGUCACUCGGAACCAUGAUAUCAGAGCGCUGGUCAUUAAAAUACGACUAUGCAUUGCUUUAAUUCACUUAUCAUAUGUUGCAUAGUCAUUUAUAUUAAUAUUUUACUUCUAUUAGUGCAGUUGCGACUCUAUCGAUUAACUUUACACGCUAUAACAAAGCACAGAGCACUUCCAAUGCAGCUAACAGCUUUUGGUCCUUAUGUCGUCCAAAAGCAGGGAAUCAAACUCUUUGAAAAAAAUGAAAACAUAUUUAUGGGCUGAUGUAUGGGUAACUGUUGAUAUUUAUUAGUGGAGCUCACACAUCUGUGAUAGUAGUGUAUUAUGCCAGUGGAGCAGUUCAGUUGGCAGUGUGCAGGAUUCAGCAGCAACAAUCCAGAAACUGCUGACUUCAAACACUGGAACGCGUCCAAGUCCAAAACAGACUUCCUGGCAAUAAUUCUGACCAAUCUGACGAUCAAGCAUAUAAUAAGCGUACAUUAAAAUCCACCUGCUCUUUCAUAGUAUUUGGGAGAAACA